AGCCAGGCCGUGCCUUCUGGGUGACUCACUCCAAGAUCCAUCCCCUGGGGUGCUGGCCAAAUGGCUCUCAGCAGCCACCAAAACAAAGCCUCCUUUUCCAACAUUGACCAAUGCCUGCCAUGGCUGAUUUCCAGCCUCCAGUGAUUGAAGAACCAGCUCACAGACUGCCAGCCUGUUUCCCCAUCCGCUCUCGUGAGCUGCACGCCCGGGUUAAUUCCGCCUGAGCCAAGCCCUGCUGUCUUUCUCUCAGACAUCUGGUGACCAGACGUGGAGAGCACCUGCAGGAUUCCUCAGCUUCUUCUCUGGGGGAAUGUGGAGAGAAACCUGGAGGAGAGUGAUGGAAGCCCAGGCUGGAGUCGUCUCCGCAUCCUCCAUCGUGAGAGCAGACUGAUGGCUGCCAAGGAAAACACCCCCUCGCCUGGCCUGCGAGCUGCGUCCGUGUCCCUCGACAGCCAGCCAUGCUGGGGAUCGGCGUCUCCUCCUAACCCAUGCCUGUUUUCUUUGGAUCUCCCUCAGAACCCCAAUUCCAGGCCUUGGGCCUCCCCGUGAAAGCCCCUGAUUUCCAUGGCCUCUUGGAUGGACCUCUUGUGUCCCAAGGGCAAAGACCACAUUCAGCUUCUUGGCCGCCUGUCUGUGGUCCAUGCCGUGGCAGCCUCGUGGGGCGCCAUUAGGACAGAUUAGGAAGAGGCAGCUGGUGUGUGGAGGGAGCAGAGGGUAUGAUUUUGGAAUUGGCAGGACCUAAUUUCAAACCCUGGCUCUAUGUUGCACUGGGGGUGACCUUGGGCAAAGGCUGGCUCCCAGAUGUCAGGCUCAGCGCAAUUCCUGGGGGACCCCUGCAGGCGCAGACUCACCCCUGCUGUCCAGGGGCCCAGAUGAAGCGCUGCUGAGGUGCCGCCGGAGCAGGACCAAGUUGGGGCUUGAACCCGCUGGGCGUGCCUGGUCCCUACUCCAGGCUGGAAGCGCUGGGGAGCUGGAGCCCCAGCCUCUGCAGCCCAGCGCAUGGUGUUGGAGAGCUGGGGCCCGAGACUUGGCUUUGCGAGGCUGCACGUGCCCCUGGAGCUGGCCUUACCUGGGGCUUCAGCUUGGCACUCGGAGGUGAAGGUGGUGAAGGUGAGGAUGUGCGUUCAUCGGUGCCGCGACUGAGUCACCCCGGCUGGGACAGGACUAGGGGAUGAAGGAGCCAUCAUAACCUGGAAGUGAUCUUCAGGGAUAGAGAGGCAACAUCUCAAGCCACCCACUGUCUGCUUAAGGGGAAAGAAGAGAGAAGAGGCAGAUGACAAAGAGUUUUUUUCCUUUCAAUAUAAUGCUGAUUAAAUUUCAGUGACCUGCUAGCGGAUCGAGGAGUUUUCACACUCUGACCUGGAACCUGAGCUCCCCAUUGUGGAAACAGCUGUGUUCCCACUUCCACUUCCCUCAGUCCCCGCUCGAGGACAAGAAGCUGCCACAAGGGUCUCACUAAAUGCUAAGCCUGGCCUGGAACUUGAGAGCCUCCUGCCUCUGCCUCUGCCUCUGGAGUCCCUGGGAUUAAAGCUGGGCACCACCACAACUGGCUAACGCCCUGCACUCUUGACCAAGCUUGACGUGGACUGCACAUCGACUCACAAGAGUUUGAGGCCUGUAGGCACUAGUGACGGCAUUUUAAAAGCCACCUCCUGGUUUUAAAAUGAACAGAGGCGAUGUUCCAUGCACAGUGACAACUAUUUUGGCUGAUGUGUGUGACUCAGAUCACUGAAGGACAGUGUGACGAGUGACUCAGACGAGACACUACCUCUUUGACCAUGUUUCUCACGGACAAUCUGCUGGGAGGGGAGCAGCUGCCAUCUCUUGAGGACACUCCAGCUGCCCGCGUGGAGAGGUCCACCUGUGAAGAACUGGAGCCCCUGCCAACAUCCAGGAAGAGCCAGGCUGGAGGGGCUUCUCCUGGCCCGGCCAGCCUUCAGGGGAUUGCUGUGACCCAAAGAGACACCUGGGUCUAGAAACACCCAGCAAAGUCCCUCCCGCAGUCCUAACUCUGUGAGACAAACCUUUAUUGUUGUUGAGGCUUCCAAGCUUCGGAGUAAUCUGACACAGCAAUGGACAGAAAAUAGUCCCCGCCGUCUCCUUAUGCCACUCCUCCUUGGCGUGUGCCAGGAUUCCCGAGACUAUGGUCUUCUCCUGAGGUCCCUUCACUGACUUGUAUGAGGCUGUUUCUUCUCUUGUCAGUCUCUUUUGGGUAAGGAUGAGCUCCUGAGGCCAGCAUCUGGCUCGUCCUUGGGACCUUCCUGUUUAUUCAGGGGCGUGGUUGACAGUAGCAGCCAGCACUGACGUGGUUCUGGCUCAGGCCAGGCACAUUCUCAGACUUUACACACUUCUUCCCACACACAUCUGUGAGGUAGGCCCUGCCAUCUAUGAAACUGAGGCACAGAGGAGUCCAGUCACGUGUCUCAGGACACACAGUGAGCAAGGAGCAGGGCUGGUGACCUCCAGCAGCUGGGCUCCAGAGUUCCUGCUGUGGUCACCCUCUGCCGACUGAUCCCAACAGUGUUUCUUGUUAAGGGAAUAAAAGAUGUCAGGCAGGUGAGGGGCUUAAGAGCUGAGAAAAAAGAUUUAUCAGAAGAAGAAAAGUAAAUCAGGGAAGGGACACAUGGACAAGCUGGACACAUGGACAAGCUGAAGUCUCAGAGAAACAGGGGCUUCAUCCUGCCUAGAAGAAUAAUUUCAGAGUCAGCUUUAUCUUACUGUAACAAAACCUGAGACAAUCAACUUAUCAAGAAAAAAGGUUUAUUUUGGGCUUAUGGUUUUGGAGGCUUUAGUCCAUGAAUGGCUGGUCCUGAGGCUUUGGGCCUGCGGUGGCACCUCAAGGCAGAGCAAAACCAUUUACCUCACAGUGGGAAGCAAAAAAAAGGAAGUCCCCUUCAAAGGCACGCCCCCAAUGACCUGAAGACCUCUCUCUAGGUCCCGCCUCUUAAAGGCUCUACCUCCUCCCAACAGUGCCUCUCUGGGGAAAAGACUUUAGCACAUGGGCCGUUAUAGAACCUUCCAGAUCCAAACAAUAGCAUUUUCCAAAUCAGUUGGGAUUUUAUCUCUAGGAAAUACAGAUAAGGUAGAUCUUUGGAUUGGGAAGUCAGGAAAGUAUGAGAUAAAAUAGAAAUGACCUGAAGGAAAUCUUUCUGUCCACCUAAGUCUGGCCACAAAGCUGCUGGUGGGUCAGCCUGCCCAGCACUCCCUUAUGGGGCUUUCACCUCUGUGUGUCCAUCAACUUGGAGAUGGCCAAGUGUGUGCAUGGAGGGUGUCUCAGGGCGCCCCCUGGUGCUCGUUGAGGACAUCUCAGGACGCCCUUCUGCCGUGGUCCUGGUAAUGGCAGGCAGCAGGGGUGGCGCCCAGGGCACAGGGUGAACCUCAGAUCUGCAGUGUCAGCAGAGGAGUUCACAAGGAGGACAGAAAAGCCACCGCGGGCUCAGUAAGGUCAAAGACAGCCAGCUGCUUGCAGAGUCUGAGUUCUUCCGGGAUUUGGUGGCUUUAUAGUCACCUCUUAGAACAUUUGGGAGAGGCAUCUGAGUAAAGAGAUGCCUCACCACUGUGGCAGGCACCGUCCAUCUGAGGAGGCCCAAACAGGACAAAGGACAGAGGGGGAGCAAACGCUCCCUCUGCUUCAGCUGUGACAGUGGCCUUUUACCCAAAGGCCUUGGGGCUUGACACGAGUCACAUCACCAGCCUUCCUGGUCUCAGCUUGCAGACUACAGCUGGUGACAUCUCUGUCCCCAUAACCGUGUGGGCCAGUUCCCAUAAUAAAUCCCUUCUGAUCCAUGGA